GUGGAUUAGAUACCCGAGUAGUCCAUGCCGUAAACGAUGCCAACUCGGUGUUUGAUCCGGGAAACCGGAUUGGGUACCCAAGCAAACGCGAUAAGUUGGCCGCCUGGGGAGUACGGUCGCAAGAUUAAAACUCAAAGGAAUUGACGGGGGCCCGCACAAGCAGCGGAGCGUGUGGUUUAAUUCGAGGCUACACGAAGAACCUUACCUGGGUUUGACAUGCUAGUAGUAGGGAACCGAAAGGGGACCGACCGCAAGGAGCUAGCACAGGUGCUGCAUGGUUGUCGCCAACU
rnacentral:rRNA from 1 species